UACUGUGGGAAAAAAUUGUAGGGAAUUAAAACCCACAAAGAAACCUACACUCCGUUCUUAGUAAAUCAGGGCCAUUUUGCGGAAUUAUGGCAUGUGAUUUGGGGCUCAAGUAUGCAGCUCCAUUUUAGGGGUUAUCCUUCUUCCUCCAGGAACAAAGGGAAAGAAGACUCCUGAAACAUCACACUGGGACAAUCUGGAACAAUCCUUUGGUGUUCCUUUAUGGCAUAAAGUUUACAGUCCUUCCUCCAUUUAGGAAAGGAGAGGACCCCCAAUUGUCAAGGCGUACCCAAGUCUGAUGGUGGAAAAGUACACUUUUGGGAAAUCGUCUCUGUGUUUCAUGACUUGUAAAGAAUUCUGGGGGAAUGUAUCAUUGUGUUUGCAUAAGUUUCUGUCACAAAUACCAAAUACUAAAAUACCAUCAUAGUGCACCAUAGUUGAAAAGAGGGCAAGGCCUCCCAGAACAGGCAAGUCCAAAAACUUUCAGGCAGACUAUAGCUUGGCGAAAUUUAUGCCUACUCCUAACAGGUGUACAUUUCAUUUGGGGAGUGUGCAAAAUGUGCCAAAUUUAUAACAAGUGUUUGUUCUUUUUUAAUACAUUUUCCUAAAUUCACGUUUUUAGGUUCACGUGUUCACACUGUUACAGGGCUCUUCGUGUGUGUCCUAUGCUUACGUAUAACAUGGAGUACCCAUUCACUUUAAUGGACUAAACAUAGUCUACAAGUGAGAAGAUGAAUGUGGUGAAGUCACACAACAACAUGUUCUUAAUUGUUGGUGUCUGGGUGACAUUCUCCUCAGGUGACUCCGCUAUAAGUGACAUUCUUCUCAUGUGACCCCGCUAUUGGUAACAUUUUUCGGAGGUGACCCCCUAUGGGUUACACUUCCCUAAGGUGUCCUGCUAUGGGUGACAUUCUUCUCAGGUGACCCAGAUAUAAGUGACAUUAUUCUCAGGUGACCCCGCUUUGGGUAACAUUUUUCUCAGGUGGCCCCUAUGGGUGACACUUCCCUUAGGUGACCCACUAUGGGUGACAUUCUCCUCAGGUGACCCGCUGUGGCUGACAUUUUUCUCAGGUGACCCCCCUAUGGGUGACACUUCCCUAAGCCAACCUGCUAUAGGUGACAUUCUCCUCAGCUGACCCGCUAUGGGUGACAUUCUCCUCAGGUCACCCACUAUGGGUGACAUUCUCCUCAGGUGACCCGCUAUGGGUGACAUUCUCCUCAGGUGACCUGCUAUGGGGAUACAUUCUCCUCAGGUGACCCCCUAUGGGUGACACUUCCCUCAGGUGACCCGCUGUGGCUGACAUUCUCCUCUGGAGACUCUGCUAUAAGUGACAUUCUCCUCAGGUGACCCACUAUGGGUGACAUUCUCCUCAGGUGACGCCCGCUAUGGGUAACAUUUUUCUCAGUUGACCCCCUAUGGGUGACACUUCCCUAAGGUGACCCACUAUGGGUGACAUUCUUCUCAGGUACUCUGCUAUGGGUAACAUUUUUCUCAGGUGACCCUCUAUGGAUGACACUUCCCUAAGGUGACCCGCUAUGGGUGACAUUUUCCUCAGGUGACUCUGCUAUGGAUAACAUUUUUCACAGGUAACCCCCCUAUGGGUGACAUUCUCCUCAGGUGACCCGCUAUGGGUGACAUUCUCCUCAAGUGACCCGCUAUGGGUGACAUUCUCCUCAGGUGACCCGCUAUGGGUGACAUUCUCCUCAGGUGACCCGCUAUAGGUGACACUCUCCUCAGGUGGCCCGCUAUGGGUGACAUCCUUCUCGUAACCCGCAAUGGGUGACAUUCUCCUCAGGUGACCCGCUAUGGGUGACAUUCUCCUCAGGUGACCCCGCUAUGGGUGACAUUCUCCUCAGGUGACCCCGUUAUAAGUGACAUUCUCCUCAGGUGACCCACAAUGGGUGACAUUCUCCUCAGGUGUCCCGCUAUGGGUGACAUUCUCCUCAGGUGACCUCGCUAUGGGUGACAUUCUCCUCAGGUGACCCCGUUAUAAGUGACAUUCUCCUCAGGUGACCCGCAAUGGGUGACAUUCUCCUCAGGUGUCCCGCUAUGGGUGACAUUCUCCUCAGGUGACCCCGCUAUGGGUGACAUUCUCCUCAGGUGACCCGCUAUGGGUGACAUUCUCCUCAGGUGACCCGCUAUAGGUGACACUCUCCUCAGGUGGCCCGCUAUGGGUGACAUCCU